rnacentral:rRNA from 1 species
AACGCGAAGAACCUUACCUGGGCUCGAAGCGCAGUGGAAUCCGGUGGAAACAUCGGCGCCCCUUAAAAGGCUGCUGCGGAGGUGCUGCAUGGCUGUCGUCAGCUCGUGUCGUGAGAUGUUGGGUUAAGUCCCGCAACGAGCGCAACCCUUAUCGUUAGUUGCCAGCGAGUCAAGUCGGGCACUCUAGCGAAACCGCCCCGGAUAACGGGGAGGAAGGUGAGGAUGACGUCAAGUCCGCAUGGCCUUUAUACCCUGGGCCACACACGUGCUACAAUGGCCGGUACAGAGGGCAGCAAUACCGCGAGGUGGAGCAAAUCCCAAAAGCCGGCCCCAGUUCAGAUUGGAGUCUGCAACUCGACUCCAUGAAGCCGGAAUUGCUAGUAAUGGCGAGUCAGCUACAUCGCCGUGAAUACGUUCCCGGGCCUUGUACACACCGCUCGUC